rnacentral:rRNA from 1 species
UGGGGAAUCUUGCACAAUGGGGGCAACCCUGAUGCAGCGACGCCGCGUGAGCGAUGAAGGUUUUCGAAUCGUAAAGCUCUGUUCUAUGGAAAGAUAAUUACGGUACCAUAGGAGGAAGCCCCGGCUAACUACGUGCCAGCAGCCGCGGUAAUACGUAGGGGGCGAGCGUUGUCCGGAAUUACUGGGCGUAAAGCGUUCGCAGGCGGCAUGGCAAGUCCGAUGUAAAAGGCGAAGACUCAACCUUCGUAAGCGUCGGAAACUGUCAAGCUUGGGUGGAGGAGAGGCAAGUGGAAUUCCUAGUGUAGCGGUGGAAUGCGUAGAUAUUAGGAGGAAUACCGGUGGCGAAAACCACUUGCUGAACUACAAAUAACGAUGAGGACCGAAAGCGUGGGUAGCAAACAGG